ACGGGAGGCAGCAGUGGGGAAUAUUAGGCAAUGGGGGAAACCCUGACCUAGCAACGCCGCGUGAAGGAAGAAGGCCUUCGGGUUGUAAACUUCUUUUAUAGGGGACGAAACAAAUGACGGUACCCUAUGAAUAAGCCACGGCAAACUACGUGCCAGCAGCCGCGGUAAUACGUAGGUGGCAAGCGUCGUCCGGAUUUACUGGGUGUAAAGGGCGCGUAGGCGGGAUGACAAGCCAGAUGUGAAAGCCAUGGGCUCAACCCAUGAACUGCAUUUGGAACUGCCAUGCUUGAGUAUCGGAGAGGCAAGCGGAAUUCCUAGUGUAGCGGUGAAAUGCGUAGAUAUUAGGAGGAACACCAGUGGCGAAGGCGGCUUGCUGGACGAAAACUGACGCUGAGGCGCGAAAGCGUGGGGAGCAAACAGGAUUAGAUACCCUGGUA
rnacentral:rRNA from 1 species